AGGGCUAUAGCUCAGUUGGUAGAGCACCUCGUUUACACCGAGAAAGUCUACGGUUCGAAUCCGUAUAGCCCUA
rnacentral:tRNA from 1 species